ACCAGUGUGAGCACCCCCGGGCCAGGGGUUCAGGAGGUAAGCCUGAAUCAUCAGUGUCCCCGGGGCUUGGGCCCAGGACUAGGGCAGAGCAGGUGCCAGAAAAGCGUGCUGUGGACUGAAAGAAGCUGUACAAAUGCUUCCAACAGCCAACAAACUGCCCUGAGGUAUUUCUUCGCAUUGUACAUUCUCAGACCUAAGGAUAAGGAGUGUGAGGCUGCAACCAGCUCCUGAAGGCGCAGGACACAGCUGUACGGAGUUUGGGGGUCACUAGGGAAAAAAAAUCCCUCCCAGCUUUUGUAGGCCCAGUUUCUCCAUCUUGAAUUCAGAAUGUGUGCACACGCGAGCACGUGCGCGUGCACACAGGAGGAACAAGCAACGGAAAUUGGCUGGAACGGUCUGGACUGCUGGUGGCUUCGUAAUGGGCUGUAGCUGGGCCCUUCCUUUCCCUCUCCAGAUGUGCGUGUGUGAUGGGGAGAUGCCAGACUCCCGGGCAGGAGAGAGAGCAGCUCUUUUACACGGCUGCACGUCCCAGGAGUCCCUGGGGAGUCAAAGGUGGAGAGGUUCCUCGAAACCAGUGUUUCCAGCUCCAGUCACCACACUGGAAGCUCUGCGGGGGGCAGGAGCCAGUGAAAGUCUUUUAGGUCCUCAGGAUAUGAAACAGUGCUUGCCCUAGAAGAAUUAAUAACAAUCAGCAGUUCAAUUCUGUCAGUAACCCCUCAAGUUCACAGAUAAGAAAACUGAGGCCGUAGAAGUGGAGUCAUGACCCCAUGCUAGAGACUGAAGAUUCAGAGUGAGGAGCGCCAGCCUCUGCCCUCUGGGGUUGCACUAGCAUCCGAGACAUUCAAAUCACACAUCAAGGGCUCUUUCCAGCACAUGCCACACAGCCUUGGAAAACUGCUCUCCCUCCUGCUACGGGGUAUCCAUUUCCUUCGAAUGGACUGGUUCCUUGGCCACUCCAGACCGGGAGCGCCUUGAAGACAGAAUGUGGCCACUUCCUGUCUGGGUCAGACCUCGAUCCCUGCCUCUGACACGGCCCUGCAGGGAAGAUCGUGGUGAGGAUCCUGUGAACUCUACAUCCUUUACAGUGGGGUCCACCGUGAAUCAUCACAUUCACUAUGUGUCCUUGGGCAAGACAGGGCCCUCUCAGAUAAAC
rnacentral:lncRNA from 1 species